AUAUCAAUAAGCGGAGGAAAAGAAACUAACAAGGAUUCCCCUAGUAACGGCGAGUGAAGCGGGAAAAGCUCAAAUUUGAAACCUGGCCUCUUUGAGGAAAAUGUCGCAGGGUUGUAGUUUAUAGAGGCGUUUUCGAUGGAAUCCUGGGUAUAAGUCUUUUGGAACAAGGCAUCAUAGAGGGUGAGAAUCCCGUCUUUGACUCAGAGUUUUCCAUUAUGUGAUACGUCUUCAUAGAGUCGAGUUGUUUGGGAAUGCAGCUCAAAAUGGGUGGUAAAUCUCAUCUAAAGCUAAAUAUUGGCGAGAGACCGAUAGCGAACAAGUACCGUGAGGGAAAGAUGAAAAGAACUUUGAAAAGAGAGUUAAACAGUACGUGAAAUUGUUGAAAGGGAAACGUUUGAAAUCAGUCAUUUCUUCUGGAAAUCAGCCUUGCUUUUGCAUGGUGUAUUUUCCAGUGGAAAGGUUAACGUCAAUUUUGGUUGUCGGAUAAAAGCCUUUGGAAUGUGGCUCUCUUCGGGGAGUGUUAUAGCCAAGGUCAAUACGAUGACUGGGAUUGAGGAUUCGCCGCCAAUGCUCUCUGGGCAGUGGCAUCAUGCGC
rnacentral:rRNA from 1 species